GACUGGUGUGCAUAACUGUGAUGACAGCAUUUCUAGCUGAGCCGGGUCAUUUUGUCCUUGGGUCCUCCAGGGAGGACUCGGCCCAAUUGCUAACGCAAAGAACUAGGUGCUAUCACAAAGCCUCCCCCAAGGCCCCAAAUCCACACUAGAAUACAACCUCCUUCCUAGGAGGAGCACAGGCGAGGGAGGGCCGGCUCUAUGGUCCUGCAUGAAGGUACAAGAGGCGAGGGUUGGAGGUGUGUGACUCACACAGGCUGGUCAGAGGCCCCGGAGUUCAGCCUCUGUCGGGUAUUUACCUACCCAUCACCAGCCGCUGACUACGUGCUCACUGUGUACCAGGGACCUGGCCAAGGGCUUCACGUGUAAUCUCAUUUAAUUCUCACAAGAGAUGCAGAGAGGUGACGUGACUCAUCAGGUGACAUGACUCACCAGGUCACCUAGCUGGUAAGGGAUGGAACUGGGUUGUGCAUAGAGGCCUAUCUGUGUCCACAGGCAGGCUCCCAGCCACCACCCUCCAGUUCCGUGGCCCUGCUCUGGGACGUGGGAAGAUAAGAAAGAAGAAGGGCUCCAGGACUCAGCUGCUCCUCGUUGUCCCACCUACUGGUCCCACCUACUUUGCUCUCUCCCAGGCCUGGCUGUGGACCUGGCCCCUCCCAGCCUCCAGGAUCUGAGGGAAACAGCUGGCUCCCCUCCUCACCACACCCCGGCGGCCAUUCUCUUGGACCCCUCCCAAGGGUACCACCUAGCCCUGGUCUGUGGACAAAGUCAAAGGGGUACUUCUGUCUGCCUGUCUGCUGUUGGGUCAGUGUGUCUGAGCUUGCCCAUAGGGACACCAGCUGGUUGGGAGGGGGCUGGGGGCCCCAACCUGCUGUGCACAGUGCCGGGAAGCGCCAGCCCACAUCCUUGAGUCCCCAGCCCCACCCUCCCCGGCUGUGGCUGUGACCACCCCACCCCUUCCCCAGCCCUCCUUCCCCUCCCCCACCCACUGCCUCCCCAGGGGAGCCAGGCUGCCAGCCCCAGCUCUCACUUCCGGCCUCAUGACCCUCUCUCCAGCUUGCACACUCCUCCUCCCCCACCAUUUCCCUCCCAGCCUGGUUCGAAGGCCCUGGGAUGUCCUCAAAUGGAAAACACUGCAUCAAAGGGGCCAUUACUGCUGCUCUGAGACCUUCCCAUCACCUCCCUUUUCCUCCAGGGGCCUUAUCUCUCAGGAUCUGUCCCUCAGGGACUAGUCAUCACCUCUGUCCACCUCCUUCCCUUCAGCCGCCUACCUGCCCACACAGUAACACCUGAAUAUCUUCUUUCAACCUGAUCCCAGGCACAAUAUCAUAAUACAAAUAACAAUGAUGGCAAUAAUAAUGGCAGCUGUCACUCAUUUGGCAUCAUUUAAAUAGAGGCACAGAGAGGUUAAGUUAUGCCCUUAAGAACAAACAGCCAUCUCAUUCAAUUAAGCUGGUGUCUGAAUUUAGGUUGGGCUUCUGUAAAUCAAACUUCUUUGGUGUCCAGAGAUUCAGCGCCCUCCCCUGCAGCCUCCUACAACGGUCCUAGUCCCAACCAUCAGUUCUAAUUUUUGACUUCUAAUCUAUCCUCCUCUCAGCUUCUAGUCACCACCUCCCACCAACAGCCAUCCAACUAGAUGCACUACUCUCCCUCGCCACUAGGUGUCCCCUUGGAGCCACUGAUGCCCCCAAGGGGAGCUGGCCCUGCCCCGCCCCCUGGGGCCAUCAGGGCCCCCCCACAGCACAGCACAGCAGUGCACACCCCACCCCACCCUACCCCCAGCCACACAGAGCUCCUUUGUGCAACCCUCGCCCACCCCCUUCCUCCCUGGAACAGGGCACCUGGCAAGCAGGUCUGCCCCAGAACCGCCCCCUGCCAGCCCCCUGCCCUGGGUGCCAGGUGUGUGGGCGCCACCGCCAGCUCUGGCUGGACCCGAGGGUCACCCUGCCGGCGGCCCUCCCUUCCUCCCUCCGAGGUCACCCAGGGACUAAGCUUCCCGCCCUGCUCCGCCCCCCUCCCCUCCUGCCCUUGGCCCUUCCAGACUCCCGUCCUUGUCUUUCCUUCUGUCUCCCGGAGGACUCCCCUCCUCCAGCCCCACUAGGCCUUCCCUGCAGCCUCUCACCCCCGCCCACCUCCUUCCCCAGAGAGCUCCUUGUUCCACGCCCCCCCGCUCCCCGCCCAGGUCUGAAGAACUCCUCCUCCUGGAAAGUUGCUGCUGGAAAGGAAGUGACUUCAGCAAUUUGGCCACAAGGCUGGGCACUGCUGAGCCCAGCUCAGCUCAAGGCUUGCCCAACCCACCUCCAAAGCACAAAUGGAGCCACAUGUGCACAUCACUCCCACUGUGCACCCAGAACCCUGAGCACACACUUAGCCAGUGUACACACAGAUCCCCGUGUGCAUACACCGUACCAUCGCAGUGUAUUCAGAUCUUGUCUAUACACACAUCUCUCCAGUGUACACUAGCACCCUUGCACACAUGACAUCCAGUGUGGCACACACAGUAUCCCCACACCUGCCCAGUACACACCCAGAAUCCUGCAUAUUCAUACUUCCGGGUACCACAUACACAGCCCUUGAACGCUCCCCAGCCCAGUCCACUUACACAACUCUUGUAUAUUACCCCAUGUGCACGGAAGGACAGAGCCUUCCACACACACCUGCUUGCACACAAGCUUGAGUGCCCUGUACAUUUACAUUCGGAUACACACAGCCUCGCAUCCUCCCACAGCUGUACCUCCCCACCCUUACAAUCCCAGGAGACUCCACCCCCAGACCUCAGGCCCCAGGAAUGCUCCUUUGGAAGUAGGGUGGGGUCCCCAGGCAGGCUCAGCUCUAGGGAGCUUCCUGGAGCCGCAGGCUUCAUGUGUCAGUUCAGGGAGUUGCCUCUGCAGGGCAGGGCAGCUUCACCUGGCUCUGCAGCUCCUGAGCCUGGGUGGGCUAACCUGGGCCAGGAGUAGGGAGGUGGGUCCUGCCACUGCCCCCGCCCCCUCCCUGUCCUGCAAGGGCACCUUAGCAUACCUGGGCUACCCAGGCCCUCCCAGCACC
rnacentral:lncRNA from 1 species